CAAUAGUUGUAAUCAAUUUGGAAGAGAAUGAAGAUGUAAGCUACAAGUCUGUUCCCCCAGCCAGGGGUAAAAUGUUACCCCUUCUGUACUGUGCUGAUUUCUCUCUGUUUGAUAACUCAGCUCAAUUGGUUUAUCAGAUACCUUAUGAAUAAAAGAACUGAACCCCUUGGUAUCAACAAAACAAACUGGAAACAAUGGCAACUUCUGUUGGGACAGACUUUCCCUGGACAUUACAGAGAGCAGGAGCAGGGCAGGAAGGAGCCUCCCUAACUACGUCUUGCCCUCUGUGCAAGUGUACAAUGUUGCCAGUGAGACACCUCAUUGAAGAUGACUGUGCCAGCCUCUCCAUAAAGGUGAAACCAGUGUCACUCUCUGACUGAGACAGUGCAGAGUAAGGGGACAGCAGGCACUCGUCACCAACCUCAUCCCCCUAAGGAGAGUGAGUACAUCCUCACUACAAUAUGCUAAGCCUCUGAACUGAGUCCACUCCUGCACCUGGUUCUCACAGCUGCCAACACAAUAUGUUCAGGCUGCCACACCAGUUCAAAUUGUGCUGUGUGUGAAAUGGAUCAUACUGAAAUAACUGUAAACUCUCUGGAUACAGCUUGAUAUUCCUGGUAAGGUGGAAUGCUCUCCUUCCCUGACAUGUAUUGUUAAUCUGCCAGAAUCAAUGAUAUAGUGAAAUGCAGGAAUUAGAACCAGACUUUCUACUUUAUCCGUCUUUUUGCUGGGCUCAGCAAAGAGGGGGAGCUGUCAGGGAGUCAGUUAUGGAUCCCUUACUUUCUCUUGGGUGCUCAUUAGAGCAACCAUAGGGCUGCUCAAAGCUACAUCAGCUGGCUCUGAUCACUAUGGGAUCACUGGUCUGGCCACUCCCCAUCCGUGCCCUAUGUACCUAUGCCAGGGGGUACAGAGAAGGAAGCAUAAGAAUCAGAUCUAUUAGCUUUAUACCCACUGGGGACUCCCCAGGCCAGUGGAGCAUUCCUAAUAGGAGACUUGAAGGAGGUUUCCAAUCCCUUUGCUACACCUGAGUGACACAAAGGAAGCUGAGUGGGGCUGAGAAUCUGAUCCUCAAAAUGAAUGUCCAGCAGUAUCUGUGCAUGCUCACAACCCCUGAAAAGGCCUAAGCCUUAAAAUAAAUAAGUAAAUUAAAUAAAUAAACCUUGUGAAGUAUUUACACAUGCACAAGAAUAAUGGAAUGUCUAUGAGAAGUUGAAUCCAGCAGUAGACAACUAGCCCUCAAAGGAAUAAUGGAUGUUGAUGUUUCAAUGAAGGAAGCCAGUUCAUUACUUAUCUCAUUUCAGAUUUUAGAGCUCUAGUGAUAUUUUUUACUUUUAUCUAGCAAUCAGAUACAAAGCGAGGGGACCACAUAAGUACUUAGAUUGAUUUAUAGAAAAACAGUGCUUUCUAAUUAACAAAUUGUGUUGCAGUAUCGAGUGAUUACACAGGUAUUCUAUUAAAUGUGCACUCAUCCUCCAGAAACUCUUUCCCUAUAAAAGGCAAGUAUGCAUUUUGAUAUCAGAAUAAACCUUAAUUAAUUACUAUGUAUUUAUUUACUGCUUAAUUGUUUUUAAAUACACAUCUUUUUUUACUAUUGUUUGAUUUUAAAAAACAGAAUUCAUAAUUAUUGUUUCCACAAUAAGUCAUCCCUCUUGUCCAUAUGAAUUAUUUAGCAUUCCCACAGAAGUGACCUGAGCAACACCUCAGUCCUUGGAGGUACUUCUCCACACAGACAUUGGUCUUGAUAUUUUCACACUUCCUAUAGACACCAGAAACCAGUAGAUGUAAUAUAGAAAUGACAUGCAGAGAACGAGGAAUGCAAAUUAUUUGAAUUAUUCAAAUAUCUAAUCACUGAAAUAAAUGUAUAGAAUUACAAAGAUCAAGGCAUACAAAUGUAAAAGGUGAAUAUAUCUCUAUCUUCUGUGUUUUCAGCUCUGAACUUUGUUGGAAUUUUAAAAAGGUAAGAGAGAGCAAAAUUAUAGACAGGUCUUUGGUUUGAAUCAUUUUUGUCAGCUUGGAAGAAAUUCCUAUCUGGCUCAAUUUAAAAAAAAAACCAGAUAUAUUUCAUAGUAUUUUGUCUGGCUUCUUAGGUGUCUCUUUGAAAACAAAAAUCAUUCCAAUAGGUCAAAAGCAUUUUUAGAAGGGUCUCAAUUGAUAGCGCUAUGAAGUCUUUUAGAAAAACUUUUUUUUGAGUUACCCAACCUCCACAUUCCCUAACUAAUAGGAAAACAUUAUAUUUUUCACAUAGAGGUAUCUGAAAUCAGCCCACAUUAUUUUUGCCAGUUUCCCUUAAAAUAAAUAAAUGUUGUGCAGAGAAUUAGCAUGAAAACUUUCAGCCCAAGUUUCAGAAUGUUAUAGCUUCCCAGAAAAUAGAGAUUUAUAAUGGAAGUGGCUUGUCAACUGUAAUGAUAGUGUUGGUAUUGUGGUGUUAAAACACGGAAAGCAAAAAUUAUCACUAUUUAAUAAAGUUUUAAAUGCAUCAACUAAUGACUAAGAAUGUCACAUCGCUAAUAAAAUUCUGCAAAUGAAAA